rnacentral:rRNA from 1 species
CCUACGGGAGGCAGCAGUGGGGAAUAUUGGGCAAUGGGCGAAAGCCUGACCCAGCGACGCCGCGUGAAGGAAGAAGGCUUUCGGGUUGUAAACUUCUUUUGACAGGGAAGAGAAGAAGACGGUACCUGUCGAAUAAGCCACGGCUAACUACGUGCCAGCAGCCGCGGUAAUACGUAGGUGGCAAGCGUUGUCCGGAUUUACUGGGUGUAAAGGGCGUGUAGCCGGGCUGACAAGUCAGAUGUGAAAGCCGGGGGCUCAACCCCCGAACUGCAUUUGAAACUGUUGGUCUUGAGUACAGGAGAGGCAGGCGGAAUUCCUAGUGUAGCGGUGAAAUGCGUAGAUAUUAGGAGGAACACCAGUGGCGAAGGCGGCUUGCUGGACGACAACUGACGGUGAGGCGCGAAAGCGUGGGGAGCAAACAGGAUUAGAUACCCUUGUAGUC